rnacentral:rRNA from 3 species
UACGAACUGUGCAAACGUUAUUCGGAAUCACUGGGCUUAAAGGGUGCGUAGGCGGCUGUCUAAGUAGGGUGUGAAAGCCCCCGGCUCAACCGGGGAAUUGCGCCCUAAACUGGAUGGCUGGAGUGAGGCAGGGGUGUGUGGAACUUCCGGUGGAGCGGUGAAAUGUGUUGAUAUCGGAAGGAACGCCGGUGGCGAAAGCGACACACUGGGUCUCAACUGACGCUGAGGCACGAAAGCCAGGGGAGCAAACGGG